GUGCUCGUAGAAAGGAGAGAUGGUUGACAUCUCCCUUACAGGGACGGGAACAACUUUUGAGCUUACCUGCAGUUACACACCGAUUACUAAGUUGCAACAACAAAACAACGCAUCAAUUAAUGAAAUAACGUGUUGUAGUGUUCUAUGUUU